rnacentral:lncRNA from 1 species
UAGACCAUACAAACACAGGGUGAGCAUGCUACUUCAAUAAAGAUAUGUUUGUUCAAUAGACCAUACAAGCACAGGGUGAGCAUGCUACUUCAAUAAAGAUAUGUUUGUCCAAUAGACCAUACAACAUGCUACUUCAACAUGUUCAAUAAAGAUAUGGUUGUUCCAAAUACAGACUUGUACAGCAUUAGUUCUCUUACCUUAGGAGAUAGACUUUAGUUUCUUUGUAGAAUGUCAAUAAAUAUUUAGAAUAAAACAAAAUGUAUAUAGUUUUUUUUUAUGAUUAUAAAUAAACCCAUGAAAAACAAUUUUUAGCAAUGAUUUAUAAUGCUUUACAUAAAAGAGACCUACAAAGAAAAAAAUCUACAAUUGGAUAUUAAAAACAAGACUUAUUAUACAUGUAACAACCUAUACAAAUAUAUUAGAAAGUCACAUUAAUGAUUCUUCACUCAUAUGAAUGUUUAUUUCUUGUAUAGUCUUUUUAUUUUGCAUCUUCUUUUAUUCAUUCUGUCAUAUAUUUGAUAUUUGAUUUUAGAUUAAAUAAAAAAAUUAGAAGAUGUGUUAAGAUUGCCAAUGAGACAACUUUCCACCCAAGUUCAAAUGAAGUAGACGUAUAAGCAAUUAUAACCAACCAGACAACCUUCAACAUUGAAUAAAACCCAUACCCUAUAAAAGCCCCAACAUAGAAAAUAUGGAACAUAAUAAAUUGAGAAAACUAACACUAUAUAGUUUUCAUUACCAUUAUGGGAUGUCUGAAUUGUACAAAUCAUUUGUUUACUGUAACAUAAUCAUUUAUUUAAAUUUAUUUCAUAUAUAUUCUCUUUAUGUAGAUUUUCUUGUAAGAAUAUUAUAAUUCUUCAGUUUCAGCUCGAAGAGGUGGACAUAAAGAAAAAGGAAAACAAAGAUUGGUUCAAUAAAUACAGAUAUGACAUUCCUGUGUUUCAUUUUAAUGGGAAAUUUUUAAUGAAACAUAGAGUAGACUUACAAGUGUUUGAGAAAGCACUUAAAGAAUAUAAAGAUUCUAAUACCUGAAAUAAUAUCGUUUAUAGUAUACAAACUUUUGGUUCUCCACUUGCUUGUAAAGUUUUUUUUUCAACCUUUAAAAUAAAAAUGACGGAAAACUAUAAGACUGUUAAAGGAUUUUUGAUGAUUAAAACUUCAAAGAACUUACAAAUUUUAGGUAAGGGUACAAGUAUCCUCUUAAAUAUUGUAUGUUUACCACUAAAUGUCUUUUUUUGGGAAAGAUAGCAUUAAAUGCAAUAGACAACUUUCGAGUUCGAUGCAUUUCCGUCAAAAACUCUGGUUUUAGUGAACGUCAUUUGUGCGU